AGGAACUGGGAGAGCCUUUGCCCCAUCUUGCCCCUUGAGCUGUAAAUGAUUACUUGUAAAUGAGCUGCUUGGGAGGACAAAAGGGCAACUGACUUACUGACCCACUCAAACAGAGUUAGCAAACACUUGCCUCCUGGGCCAUGCAUGGAGUCGUGAUUGCCCUGAGAAAAUGGACCAAUCCUGCUUGUCUGAAGACAAGCAUGUUUGAGGUCAUAGAAUGUAAACUGAAGUUAAUAAAUUGGGGAAUUUGGUCUCAUGGACAAUGUUACCUAUAUCAUACGUCACCUGAGCAUCAGGGAAGUGAUGCUCUGCAGCACCCAGAAGAAAGAAAAGAAAUUCCUCUUUUCC
rnacentral:lncRNA from 1 species